UGGUGUGCAUAUGCACCUCUUGAUGUCUCCAUAAAGUUUUUAUUUGGUUUAGGGGUUCCCUGCUGAGCCUACAGAAAAACUCUCCUAGACAGUCUGCUCUCUGCAAAGCUGCAAUGUCUGGCAGAAUAGCAGCUAAUGGUGCUCUUGUUCUAUUCUAGGAACUGCCAAGCUCUCUCUGAAGGACUAAUUUUCCUUUCCUAUUGCAUUCCCAUUGGAUGCCACAUCAAACUCCUACUGCUCCUUCACAGGUCUGAAAAUUCACUGCUCCUGGGCAAUUGUUUCAUUUGCAACAGGCAUUUGAUGGCGCCAGCAGACAGACAUGAGAUUCCAAAUCCUUUCAUCUGUGACUGUCAACAAUUACUUUUUACUGUUUAACAGAUACAUGUAUAUACAUAUGGAAAGCAAUUUUAGCAGAAGGUCU
rnacentral:lncRNA from 1 species